AAAGUCGUAACAAGGUUUCCGUAGGUGAACCUGCGGAAGGAUCAUUAGAGAUAUUUGCGAGGCGUAAGCCGAGCGUUUAUUUGUUUAAGUUCAAAUGUGAAGUGUUGUUACCACUGCAAAGUUUUUGUUGGUGGAUUUUUUGCUGCGUAAUGUAAUGAGUAUGAGUUGUAUUAUAACAAGUAAAACUUUCAGUGACGGAUCUCUUGGCUCUC
rnacentral:misc_RNA from 1 species